rnacentral:rRNA from 1 species
UACAGAGGUCUCAAGCGUUGUUCGGAUUCAUUGGGCGUAAAGGGCGCGUAGGCGGCUCGGCACGUCCGUUGUGAAAUCGCCCGGCUCAACUGGGCGGGGUCAGCGGAUACGGCCGAGCUUGAGCAAGCUAGGGGGGCAAUGGAAUUCCCGGUGUAGUGGUGGAAUGCGUAGAUAUCGGGAGGAACACCAGUGGCGAAGGCGGUUGCCUGGAGCUUUGCUGACGCUGAUGCGCGAAAAGCGUGGGGGAGCGAUCCGG